rnacentral:rRNA from 1 species
UACGUAGGGGGCAAGCGUUGUCCGGAUUUAUUGGGCGUAAAGAGCGUGUAGGCGGCUAGAUAGGUCCGUUGUGAAAACUCGAGGCUCAACCUCGAGACGUCGAUGGAAACCAUCUGGCUAGAGUCCGGAAGAGGAGAGUGGAAUUCCUGGUGUAGCGGUGAAAUGCGCAGAUAUCAGGAAGAACACCCGUGGCGAAGGCGGCUCUCUGGUACGUGACUGACGCUGAGGCGCGAAGGCGUGGGGAGCGAACGGG